rnacentral:rRNA from 1 species
UACGUAGGGGGCUAGCGUUGUCCGGAAUCAUUGGGCGUAAAGCGCGCGUAGGCGGCCAGAUAAGUCCGGUGUGAAAGUCACAGGCUCAACCUGUGAAUGCCGCUGGAAACUGUCUGGCUAGAGUCCGGAAGGGGCGAGUGGAAUUCCUGGUGUAGCGGUGAAAUGCGCAGAUAUCAGGAGGAACACCAAUGGCGAAGGCAGCUCGCUGGGACGGUACUGACGCUGAGACGCGAAAGCGUGGGGACGCGAACAGG